rnacentral:rRNA from 1 species
UUAAUAAUUUAUAUAAAAUAUUUUGAUGAAUAUUUAUAUAAUAUUAACAUAAUUCAUAUUACUAUAUAUUUUAGUAUAUGAAAUUUUACUUUGGGAAAAUUAGAGUGCUUAAAGCAGGCAUAUGCCUUGAAUACUCCAGCAUGGAAUAAUAUUAAAGAUUUUUAUCUUUCUUAUUGGUUCUAAGAUAAGAAUAAUGAUUAAUAGGGACAGUUGGGGGCAUUUGUAUUUAACAGUCAGAGGUGAAAUUCUUAGAUUUGUUAAAGACAAACUAAUGCGAAAGCAUUUGCCAAGGAUGAUUUCAUUAAUCAAGAACGAAAGUUAGGGGAUCGAAGACGAUCAGGUACCGUCGUAGUCUUAACCAUAAACUAUGCCAACUAGAGAUUGGAGGUUGUU